UCUCCCUGUUGCACAUUGCCUUGUCUGUGAAGGGCACAAAGGGAUCAAUUUUAAUAUAUAUAAAUAUAUAUAUAUAUAUAUAUAUUUAUAUAUAUUAAAAUUGAUCCCUUUGUGCCCUUCACAGACAAGGCAAUGUGCAACAG
rfam:Heterocephalus glaber contig260079, whole genome shotgun sequence.